UCGGUCAUUUGUGUCCUAAACUAUUUUGGGUUUCAGCCCUCAAUCAUUCGUGUCCUCUCGCAGAGCACCCAUACCACCAGACUUGCAGGAGCUGCCGACAGCGCCUCUGACCACCGUACCACUCAUCGACGUCGUCGCCACCGUAUCACUCUCGAUUUCGUGCCGCUGCCGCUCAAUCUUGUGCCGCCACUGCUGAUCUUUGUUUUAGGUGUUGUCGGAGUUUAGUUUGGAUACAAAAUUUGGAGGAAUUUUAAAGUUUUCUGGGGUGUUGUCCAACGAAGCUAUUAGUUGCUCCGUCAAUUUUGGUAAAGGAAAGGACAGAACGACGAAUGACAAGAAGAAUCUGUGACCAAGUCCCUGGGACUUAUCAUACGCUUCUGCCUAUGUUUUAUUUUUUUUCAUGUUUUCAUGUUCUAAUUUAGAAGUUCAAUAUUUAAAUCCUUAAUUAAUUUGUUCGAAUAUUUAUUUAAUUUGUUUUCCAAUCAGGUUUAAGGGUACCCCGA